rnacentral:miRNA from 14 species
AGAAAUCUAGGUCUGUCAUUCAUAUAUAUAUAUAUAUAUAUAUAUAUAUAUAUAUGUGUGUGUGUGUGUGUGUAUAUAUAUAUACACACAUAUAUAUAUGUAUGUAUGUAUGUAUGUAUA